rnacentral:rRNA from 1 species
CCAUACCCGGNCCACCCAUGCUAUCGGCAUGGUCAAAGCGGUGAUGGAUGAGCUGUUCGAUGUACUUCACGCUCAUUAACAUUGCCGGCCUAGUGCCGAUUGUCGCUGGGCUUGCUUGCUUCAACAUGUGCGGGCGCCGUACAUUGGCUCCGAUAUGGCCAUUCUCGGCAUUCACCGCAUGGCUGCCAAUGGAUCGAUCACGAAUUCGUGCGCACCGUGUGCGAAAUGCCGAAUGUGAUCGCCGCCUGUCCGACGGGUGCUAUCCGGCCGGAUACGGCGAACAGGACUCUCACGAUCAACGAGAACAAAUGC